CCAAUCUUGACAUGGAGCCACUGGCAGAGGUUUCCCUUGCUAUUCAUUUAUUUAAUUUUCAUUUUGUCAUGAGGAAAGAAGGCUGACUCUCAGAAUACUUUGAUGGAAGGACUUCCUUCUGCUUGGACUCCCUUGAUGGCUGAUUUUUGUCACACAAAUGAGGCUGGAGUGCAGUAGUACAUGGCUGGUGCAAACAUGGCUCGCUGCAGCCUGGAAGCCCUGGACUCAAGCAAUCCUCCCACCUCAGCCUCUUUCAUAGCUGGUAUCACAGAUAGACAAACUGUGGUCGGUGAAGCACAGGAAUUUGCUGAAAGUUACUCAGCUGGUAACCCACUGCGCGGCACAGCAGCAGCAGAGGAGGCCCAGGCAUUUGCCUGUUGCAAAUAAGGAGACCAAGGCUCAGGAAGUCACGUGGCUCCAGCCAGGCAUCCCUGCCCCGCAGUGGCUCAGCAAGGCCUCUCGCCACU
rnacentral:lncRNA from 1 species